rnacentral:rRNA from 1 species
UCGAGGAUCUUUAGCAAUGGACGAAAGUCUGACUAUGCGACGCCGCGUGAGGGAUGAAGUCCUUCGGGAUGUAAACCUCUUUCGAUGGGGAGGAAAUACCAUGUUGAAUGGAGCUGACUGUACCCAGAGAAGAAGCCACGGCUAACUCCGUGCCAGCAGCCGCGGUAAUACGGAGGUGGCAAGCGUUACUCGGAUUCAUUGGGUGUAAAGGGCAAGUAGGUGUUUUAGAAAGUUUUAGGUGAAAUCCUUGGGCUCAACUCAAGAACUGCCUAGAAAACUCCUAGAAUUGAGUGUGAAAGAGGGAAACGGAAUUCCCGGUGUAAGGGUGAAAUCUGUAGAUAUCGGGAAGAACACCAGUGGCGUAAGCGGUUUCCUGGUUCACAACUGACACUGAAUUGCGAAAGCUAGGGGAGCAAACAGA